rnacentral:pre_miRNA from 1 species
UAUAUACUCCCUCCGUCCGGAAAUACUUGUUCUACAAGUAGAUGUAUCUAGAUUUAUUUUAAUUAUAGAUACAUCCAUUUUAUACGUUUUUAGAACAAGUAUUUCCGGACGGAGGGAGUAUAUG